UACAGAGGGUGCAAGCGUUAAUCGGAAUUACUGGGCGUAAAGCGCACGUAGGUGGCUUGGUAAGUUGGGUGUGAAAUCCCCGGGCUUAACCUGGGAAUUGCAUUCAAGACUGUCUUGCUAGAGUGUGGAAGAGGGAAGCGGAAUUCCAGGUGUAGCGGUGAAAUGCGUAGAUAUCUGGAGGAACAUCAGUGGCGAAGGCGGCUUCCUGGUCCAACACUGACACUGAGGUGCGAAAGCGUGGGGAGCAAACAGG
rnacentral:rRNA from 1 species